rnacentral:rRNA from 1 species
GAUGAACGCUGGCGGCGUGCCUAAUACAUGCAAGUCGAGCGAACGGACGAUAAGCUUGCUUUUCUGACGUUAGCGGCGGACGGGAGAGUAACACGUGUAUCACCUACCUAUCAUUCGGGUAUAACUUCGGGAAACCGGCGCUAAUCCCGUAUAAUCUCUUGCACCGCAUGGUUCAAUAGUGAAAGACGGCCUUGCUGUCACUUAUAGCUGGAUCCGCGCUGCAUUAGCUAGUUGGUACGGUAACGGCUUACCAAGGCAACGAUGCCUAGCCGACCUGAGAGGGGGAUCGGCCACACUGGAACUGAGACACGGUCCAGACUCCUACGGGAGGCAGCAGUAGGGAAUGUUCCGCAAUGGGCGAAAGCCUGACGGAGCAACGCCGCGUGAGUGAUGAAGGUCUUCGGAUCGGAAAACUCUGUUAUUAGGGAAGAACAUAUGUGUAAGUAACUGUGCACAUCUUGACGGUACCGAAUCAGAAAGCCACGGCUAACUACGUG